rnacentral:rRNA from 1 species
GACGUAGGGGGCGAGCGUUGUCCGGAUUCAUUGGGCGUAAAGCGCGCGUAGGCGGCCCGGUAAGUCGGAUGUGAAAUCUCACGGCUCAACCGUGGAACUGCAUUCGAAACUGUCGGGCUAGAGGCAGGUAGGGGAGAUCGGAAUUCCCGGUGUAGCGGUGAAAUGCGCAGAUAUCGGGAGGAACACCGGUGGCGAAGGCAGUCCCCUGGGCCUGCACUGACGCUCAUGCACGAAAGCGUGGGGAGCAAACAGG